rnacentral:tRNA from 1 species
GGAGAAAUGGCAGAGUGGUUUAAUGCGCCAACUUGGAAGGUUGGUUCCCUUUAGGGAUCACAGGUUCAAAUCCUGUUUUUUCC